rnacentral:rRNA from 1 species
AGCUACAGGCUUAACACAUGCAAGUCGAGGGGCAGCAUGGUCUUAGCUUGCUAAGGCCGAUGGCGACCGGCGCACGGGUGAGUAACACGUAUCCAACCUGCCGUCUACUCUUGGACAGCCUUCUGAAAGGAAGAUUAAUACGAGAUGGCAUCAUGAGUCCGCAUGUUCACAUGAUUAAAGGUAUUCCGGUAGACGAUGGGGAUGCGUUCCAUUAGAUAGUAGGCGGGGUAACGGCCCACCUAGUCUUCGAUGGAUAGGGGUUCUGAGAGGAAGGUCCCCCACAUUGGAACUGAGACACGGUCCAAACUCCUACGGGAGGCAGCAGUGAGGAAUAUUGGUCAAUGGGCGAGAGCCUGAACCAGCCAAGUAGCGUGAAGGAUGACUGCCCUAUGGGUUGUAAACUUCUUUUAUAAAGGAAUAAAGUCGGGUAUGGAUACCCGUUUGCAUGUACUUUAUGAAUAAGGAUCGGCUAACUCCGUGCCAGCAGCCGCGGUAAUACGGAGGAUCCGAGCGUUAUCCGGAUUUAUUGGGUUUAAAGGGAGCGUAGAUGGAUGUUUAAGUCAGUUGUGAAAGUUUGCGGCUCAACCGUAAAAUUGCAGUUGAUACUGGAUAUCUUGAGUGCAGUUGAGGCAGGCGGAAUUCGUGGUGUAGCGGUGAAAUGCUUAGAUAUCACGAAGAACUCCGAUUGCGAAGGCAGCCUGCUAAGCUGCAACUGACAUUGAGGCUCGAAAGUGUGGGUAUCAAACAGGAUUAGAUACCCUGGUAGUCCACACGGUAAACGAUGAAUACUCGCUGUUUGCGAUAUACUGCAAGCGGCCAAGCGAAAGCGUUAAGUAUUCCACCUGGGGAGUACGCCGGCAACGGUGAAACUCAAAGGAAUUGACGGGGGCCCGCACAAGCGGAGGAACAUGUGGUUUAAUUCGAUGAUACGCGAGGAACCUUACCCGGGCUUAAAUUGCAGAUGAAUUACGGUGAAAGCCGUAAGCCGCAAGGCAUCUGUGAAGGUGCUGCAUGGUUGUCGUCAGCUCGUGCCGUGAGGUGUCGGCUUAAGUGCCAUAACGAGCGCAACCCUUGUUGUCAGUUACUAACAGGUCAUGCUGAGGACUCUGACAAGACUGCCAUCGUAAGAUGUGAGGAAGGUGGGGAUGACGUCAAAUCAGCACGGCCCUUACGUCCGGGGCUACACACGUGUUACAAUGGGGGGUACAGAGGGCCGCUACUACGCGAGUGGAUGCCAAUCCCCAAAACCUCUCUCAGUUCGGACUGGAGUCUGCAACCCGACUCCACGAAGCUGGAUUCGCUAGUAAUCGCGCAUCAGCCACGGCGCGGUGAAUACGCUCCCGGGCCUUGUACACACCGCCCGUCAAGCCAUGGGAGCCGGGGGUACCUGAAGUGCGUAACCGCGAGGAGCGCCCUAGGGUAAAACUGGUGACUGGGGCUAAAU